AUAAAAACGAUGACAGAGGAAAGUAGGUAUACCGGAAGGUUAUAGCGAGUCAGGGAUGGUGGAAGCCUGAUACUGCGAUGGUAUAUUGAAGUUCCCUCUCGAGUUGCCAGUUGAAAACCGCUAUAGGCGGUGAGUAGAUGGGGCCGGAGAUUUCACCGUUAAAAGAAAUGGAGUAUGUUAGUACUCUUAAUGAGCGAACCUGUCUAUACAGGUUAAUAAAGGUGGUACCGCGGGUAACCUCUCGUCCUUAUG
rnacentral:ncRNA from 1 species